rnacentral:lncRNA from 1 species
CGCUCACGUGACCAGCCGGGCGCCGACGUGGGCAGCAGCCCCCGCUCCCGCCCGCUCGCCUGCUCGCCCCGCGGUCCGGUCCCUGCUCUGUCCGCUCGCGUCGCCCGUGUGGAACCAGCUACCUGAGCUGCCCGGGCGGCUGACGAGGGGCGAGCGGGCUUCGGCGAGCCCGAGGAGGCGCAGGCCUGCCCGGGCCCGGCAGGUCUGUGUGUCUAUCCCCAGCACUCUACAAGGCUAGAAAAGGAGGAGGAACCUGUCCAGAAUCCCUGCAGGACAAGGA